rnacentral:rRNA from 1 species
CGACGGGAGUAGACAAUACAACGUGGUGGCCGACCGGCGCACGGGUGAGUAACGCGUAUGCAACCUACCUAUCAGAGGGGAAUAACCCGGCGAAAGUCGGACUAAUACCGCAUAAAACAGGGGCACCGCAUGGUGAUAUUUGUUAAAGAGAUUCGCUGAUAGAUGGGCAUGCGUUCCAUUAGGUAGUUGGUGAGGUAACGGCUCACCAAGCCGACGAUGGAUAGGGGAACUGAGAGGUUGGUCCCCCACACUGGUACUGAGACACGGACCAGACUCCUACGGGAGGCAGCAGUGAGGAAUAUUGGUCAAUGGGCGGGAGCCUGAACCAGCCAAGUCGCGUGAAAGGAAGAAGGAUCUAUGGUUCGUAAACUUCUUUUGCAGGGGAAUAAAGUGCAGGACGUGUCCUGUUUUGUAUGUACCCUGAGAAUAAGGAUCGGCUAACUCCGUGCCAGCAGCAGC